GAUGAAGAACGCAGCGAAAUGCGAUAAGUAAUGUGAAUUGCAGAAUUCAGUGAAUCAUCGAAUCUUUGAACGCAUCUUGCGCUCCUUGGUAUUCUGAGGAGCAUGCCUGUUUGAGUGUCAUUAAAUUCUCAACUACACUGACUUUGAAUUGGUGUGGCUUGGAUUUGGGGGGAAAAUUGUUGUGGGCUUUUUGUAUAGUCUGCUCCCCUGAAAUUGAUUAGCGGUACCUUUGUGGAACUGUCUACAGGUGUGAUAAUUAUCUACAUCUUAGACAUCUGCUGGAAUGCUGCUUUCUAAACCUUACUUGUAUUGACAAUCUUGACCUCAAAUCAGGUAGGACUACCCGCUGAACUUAAGCAUAUCAAUAAACGGAGGA
rnacentral:misc_RNA from 1 species